AAUGAAACUAGAUACAAGCGAGCGGCGGACGGGUGAGUAACACGUGGGUAACCUGCCCAAGAGACUGGGAUAACACCUGGAAACAGAUGCUAAUACCGGAUAACAACACUAGACGCAUGUCUAGAGUUUGAAAGAUGGUUCUGCUAUCACUCUUGGAUGGACCUGCGGUGCAUUAGCUAGUUGGUAAGGUAACGGCUUACCAAGGCAAUGAUGCAUAGCCGAGUUGAGAGACUGAUCGGCCACAUUGGGACUGAGACACGGCCCAAACUCCUACGGGAGGCAGCAGUAGGGAAUCUUCCACAAUGGACGAAAGUCUGAUGGAGCAACGCCGCGUGAGUGAAGAAGGGUUUCGGCUCGUAAAGCUCUGUUGGUAGUGAAGAAAGAUAGAGGUAGUAACUGGCCUUUAUUUGACGGUAAUUACUUAGAAAGUCACGGCUAACUACGUGCCAGCAGCCGCGGUAAUACGUAGGUGGCAAGCGUUGUCCGGAUUUAUUGGGCGUAAAGCGAGUGCAGGCGGUUCAAUAAGUCUGAUGUGAAAGCCUUCGGCUCAACCGGAGAAUUGCAUCAGAAACUGUUGAACUUGAGUGCAGAAGAGGAGAGUGGAACUCCAUGUGUAGCGGUGGAAUGCGUAGAUAUAUGGAAGAACACCAGUGGCGAAGGCGGCUCUCUGGUCUGCAACUGACGCUG
rnacentral:rRNA from 1 species